UAGUGUAAACAAUUUAUGUAUAAACAAUUGCUUAGACUUCCCAUAUAUGCAGUAUUUGCGGAUUUUCUUAUUGCCUUUAGUUAUAAAUACUAUAGUUGUAAAUGCAAAUGUACACAUGCGAUAAACUUGGUGAGCAAUAUGUGUACGAGCCACUUGCUUUCAAAAUGUACUCAAGCAAUCAGUAGUUCACGUGAACUGAAACCAAAUGAAAUUCCUAUGAAAGCGUUUCAAGCGGUUUGACGGCUUUCGCGCAUUGUGGUGGCAUAUGCGCUGAAUUCACAAGAAUUUUUUAUGACAUAUACUAAAAGCAGCUGUCGAAGUAAACAUCAUUAUAUGUUGGAGAUGGAAGCAACUUUGUAGCUAAUGGCCCAAUAUCCAUCAUCAGAACGCUGCAACGAACCAUAGAGCGCGUGACACCAGUCCUUAAUUGCGGCGAUCUUUUGAGGAUCAACUUAUAAUACGAAAUUGGUAGUGGUUACAUGAUGUGACUCCAUUAGAAUAUCAUACAUCUUAUGAGGAUCCAUUGAAUAAGUGGCAAAAACAAAAAAACAAUGUUUUAAUAAGGAUUUCAAUACAGCGCUACACUUUUUUUAAUGAAAGAAAAACGGUUUUGAAUAUCAAUAAAAUUCUUUAUUCCUGUGAAGGCACAUACGAUG